AGCGUAAUAGCUCACUGGUCGAGUCGGCCUGCGCGGAAGAUGUAACGGGGCUAAACCAUGCACCGAAGCUGCGGCAGCGACACUGUGUGUUGUUGGGUAGGGGAGCGUUCUGUAAGCCUGUGAAGGUGUGCUGUGAGGCAUGCUGGAGGUAUCAGAAGUGCGAAUGCUGACAUAAGUAACGAUAAAGCGGGUGAAAAGCCCGCUCGCCGGAAGACCAAGGGUUCCUGUCCAACGUUAAUCGGGGCAGGGUGAGUCGACCCCUAAGGCGAGGCCGAAAGGCGUAGUCGAUGGGAAACAGGUUAAUAUUCCUGUACUUGGUGUUACUGCGAAGGGGGGACGGAGAAGGCUAUGUUGGCCGGGCGACGGUUGUCCCGGUUUAAGCGUGUAGGCUGGUUUUCCAGGCAAAUCCGGAAAAUCAAGGCUGAGGCGUGAUGACGAGGCACUACGGUGCUGAAGCAACAAAUGCCCUGCUUCCAGGAAAAGCCUCUAAGCAUCAGGUAACAUCAAAUCGUACCCCAAACCGACACAGGUGGUCAGGUAGAGAAUACCAAGGCGCUUGAGAGAACUCGGGUGAAGGAACUAGGCAAAAUGGUGCCGUAACUUCGGGAGAAGGCACGCUGAUAUGUAGGUGAAGUCCCUCGCGGAUGGAGCUGAAAUCAGUCGAAGAUACCAGCUGGCUGCAACUGUUUAUUAAAAACACAGCACUGUGCAAACACGAAAGUGGACGUAUACGGUGUGACGCCUGCCCGGUGCCGGAAGGUUAAUUGAUGGGGUCAGCGCAAGCGAAGCUCUUGAUCGAAGCCCCGGUAAACGGCGGCCGUAACUAUAACGGUCCUAAGGUAGCGAAAUUCCUUGUCGGGUAAGUUCCGACCUGCACGAAUGGCGUAAUGAUGGCCAGGCUGUCUCCACCCGAGACUCAGUGAAAUUGAACUCGCUGUGAAGAUGCAGUGUACCCGCGGCAAGACGGAAAGACCCCGUGAACCUUUACUAUAGCUUGACACUGAACAUUGAGCCUUGAUGUGUAGGAUAGGUGGGAGGCUUUGAAGUGUGGACGCCAGUCUGCAUGGAGCCGACCUUGAAAUACCACCCUUUAAUGUUUGAUGUUCUAACGUUGACCCGUAAUCCGGGUUGCGGACAGUGUCUGGUGGGUAGUUUGACUGGGGCGGUCUCCUCCUAAAGAGUAACGGAGGAGCACGAAGGUUGGCUAAUCCUGGUCGGACAUCAGGAGGUUAGUGCAAUGGCAUAAGCCAGCUUGACUGCGAGCGUGACGGCGCGAGCAGGUGCGAAAGCAGGUCAUAGUGAUCCGGUGGUUCUGAAUGGAAGGGCCAUCGCUCAACGGAUAAAAGGUACUCCGGGGAUAACAGGCUGAUACCGCCCAAGAGUUCAUAUCGACGGCGGUGUUUGGCACCUCGAUGUCGGCUCAUCACAUCCUGGGGCUGAAGUAGGUCCCAAGGGUAUGGCUGUUCGCCAUUUAAAGUGGUACGCGAGCUGGGUUUAGAACGUCGUGAGACAGUUCGGUCCCUAUCUGCCGUGGGCGCUGGAGAACUGAGGGGGGCUGCUCCUAGUACGAGAGGACCGGAGUGGACGCAUCACUGGUGUUCGGGUUGUCAUGCCAAUGGCACUGCCCGGUAGCUAAAUGCGGAAGAGAUAAGUGCUGAAAGCAUCUAAGCACGAAACUUGCCCCGAGAUGAGUUCUCCCUGACCCUUUAAGGGUCCUGAAGGAACGUUGAAGACGACGACGUUGAUAGGCCGGGUGUGUAAGCGCAGCGAUGCGUUGAGCUAACCGGUACUAAUGAACCGUGAGGCUUAACCUU
rnacentral:rRNA from 1 species